UUCGAUAUGGCUUAGUGGCACAGUGCCUGCCUGGCAAGCACAAGGUCCUGAGUUCAAUUUCCGGUAUAAAAA
rnacentral:tRNA from 1 species